AUACGGAGGGGGUUAGCGUUGUUCAGAAUUACUGGGCGUAAAGCGCACGUAGGCGGAUUGGAAAGUUGGGGGUGAAAUCCCAGGGCUCAACCCUGGAACUGCCUCCAAAACUAACAGUCUAGAGUUCGAGAGAGGUGAGUGGAAUUCCAAGUGUAGAGGUGAAAUUCGUAGAUAUUUGGAGGAACACCAGUGGCGAAGGCGGCUCACUGGCUCGAUACUGACGCUGAGGUGCGAAAGCGUGGGGAGCAAACAGGAUUAGAUACCCUAGUAGUCC
rnacentral:rRNA from 1 species